rnacentral:rRNA from 1 species
UACGGAGGAUCCAAGCGUUAUCCGGAAUCAUUGGGUUUAAAGGGUCCGUAGGCGGGAUAAUAAGUCAGCGGUGAAAGUCUGUGGCUCAACCAUAGAAUUGCCAUUGAUACUGUUGUUCUUGAGUGUUUAUGAAGUGGUUAGAAUAUGUAGUGUAGCGGUGAAAUGCUUAGAUAUUACAUGGAAUACCGAUUGCGAAGGCAGAUCACUAAUAAAAUACUGACGCUGAUGGACGAAAGCGUAGGUAGCGAAC